rnacentral:rRNA from 1 species
AUUGAACGCUGGCGGCGUGCCUAACACAUGCAAGUCGAGCGGUAACAGGUGUAGCAAUACAUGCUGACGAGCGGCGAACGGGUGAGUAAUGCUUCGGAAUCUGCCCAUGUAGUGGGGAAUAACCAGCCGAAAGGUUGGCUAAUACCGCAUACGACCCUUGCCCACAAGGCAAAGGUGAAAGCAGGGGAUCGCAAGACCUUGCGCUAUUGGAUGAGCCGAAGUCGGAUUAGCUAGUUGGUAGGGUAACGGCCUACCAAGGCGACGAUCCGUAGCUGGUCUGAGAGGACGACCAGCCACACUGGGACUGAGACACGGCCCAGACUCCUACGGGAGGCAGCAGUGGGGAAUUUUAGGUACAAUGGGGCAACCCUGAUCCAGCCAUGCCGCGUGUGUG